UAUGUCAAAGUGACUUAGCUCCUCUAAGCAAAACUGUAAGACUUCAUUCCCACUGAUACGAUUUCACACAGUAAACUUUGUCAGCAUAUGAUUUUAGAGAACAAAGUUUCUCAUGAAUUAAAAAAAAAAGUCCAUCUUGUGGAGAGACGAAGACUGAGCGGUUGCGGCUGUGUUGUCGACUUUGAGCAGCACUCAGUUUCUGCACGUAGAACCUGGGAUUAAGAGAUUCAGAAUUGAAUCUCUUCUCCCUCCCCCCUCCUGUGAGAUUUUUUUGAUCUUCAGCUACAUUUUUCGGCUUCGUGAGGAACCUUAUCAUCAAACGCAACGGCUAGCAAUGUCACCAACAAGACAGAUCCUCGCUCCGUGAACUCCCGUGUAUUCAUUGGGAAUCUCAACACUCUUGUGGUCAAGAAGUCUGAUGUGGAGGCAAUCUUCUCGAAAUAUGGCAAAAUUGUGGGUUGUUCUGUUCAUAAAGGCUUUGCCUUCGUUCAGUAUGUUAAUGGGCAAAAUGCCCGGGCUGCUGUAGCAGGAGAGGAUGGCAGAAUGAUUGCUGGCCCAGUUUUAGAUAUUAAUCUGGCUGCAGAGCCAAAAGUGAAUCGAGGAAAAGCAGGUGUGAAAUGAUCUGCAGCGGAAAUGUACGGCUCCUCUUUUGACUUGGACUAUGACUUUCAACGGGAUUAUUAUGACAGGAUGUACAGUUACCCAGCACGUGUUCCUCCUCUUCCUCCUAUUGCUUGGGCUGUGGUGCCCUCAAAACGCCAGCGUGUAUCAGGAAACACCUCACGAAGGGGGAAAAGUGGCUUCAAUUCUAAGAGUAGACAGCGGAGUUCUUCUUCCAAGUCUGGAAAGUUGAAAGGAGAUGACCUUCAGGCCAUUAAGAAGGAAUUGACUCAGAUAAAACAAAAAGUGGAUUCUCUACUGGAAAACCUGGAAAAACGUGAAAAGGAACAGAGCAAACAAGCAGUAGAGAUGAAGAAUGAUAAGUCAGAAGAGGGGCAGAGCAGCAGCUCCCAGAAGAAAGAUGAGACUAAUGUGAAGAUGGAGUCUGAGGGGGGUGCAGAUGACUCUACUGAGGAGGGGGACCUACUGGAUGAUGAUGAUAAUGAAGAUGGGGGGGAUGACCAGCUGGAGUUGAUCAAGGAUGAUGAAAAAGAGGCUGAGGAAGGAGAGGAUGACAGAGACGGCGCCAAUGGUGAGGAUGACUCUUAAGCACAUAGUGGGGUUUAGAAAUCUUAUCCCAUUAUUUCUUUACCUAGGCGCUUGUCUAAGAUCAAAAUUUUCACCAGAUCCUCUCCCCUAGUAUCUUCAGCACAUGCUCACUGUUCUCCCCAUCCUUGUCCUUCCCACUUUCAUUAAUUCAUAUUGCCCUGCGCCUAGUCCCAUUUUCACUUCCUUUGAUGCUCCUAGUAGUUAAGUCUUACCCUGUAACUUUUUGCUUUUAAUUUUGAUACCUCUUUGACUUAACAAUAAAAAGGAUGUAUGGUUUUUAUCA